AACGAACGCUGGCGGCGUGCCUAACACAUGCAAGUCGAACGAGAAAGGGGCUUCGGCUCCGAGUAAAGUGGCGCACGGGUGAGUAACACGUGGGUAACCUGCCUCUAAGAUUGGGAUAACUCGUCGAAAGAUGAGCUAAUACCGAAUAAGACCACAGUUCCCGCGGGAACAGGGGUCAAAGGUAGCCUCUGCUUGCAAGCUAUCACUUAGAGAUGGGCCUGCGCACCAUUAGCUAGUUGGUAGGGUAACGGCCUACCAAGGCAAAGAUGGUUAGCUGGUCUGAGAGGAUGAUCAGCCACACUGGAACUGAGACACGGUCCAGACUCCUACGGGGGGCAGCAGGGGGGAAUAUUGCGCAAUGGGCGAAAGCUUGACGCAGCAACGCCGCGUGAGUGAUGAAGGCCUUCGGGUCGUAAAGCUCUGUCGGGAGGAACGAAUGCUCCUGAGGUUAACAGCCUCGGGAGGUGACGGUACCUUCAAAGGAAGCACCGGCUAACUCUGUG
rnacentral:rRNA from 1 species